CGGGGUGUAGCUCAGCUUGGUAGAGCGCUUCGUUCGGGACGAAGAGGUCGCUGGUUCAAAUCCAGUCACCCCGA
rnacentral:tRNA from 1 species